GACAGUUCCGUUAGGACGGGAAGGAAACCAUUGUCUGUUAUCGGCAAUGCAAACAAUGAGAUGAGCGGCCAGUUCAGAAAUCGCCUCAGCAAUAACGCCAAAAUAAUGAAGGACAAAUUAGAAGGAAGUGGUUUACUACAAGGGAACAGCAACCGGAUAAAGAAUCCUCAGGGAUUGCGGAUUUCGUUGCCUAGGAGUCUUUCGGUUGCAAACAUAUCAU
rnacentral:misc_RNA from 1 species